GCCCAAUGUACAGGGUACCAAGAGGCAGACAGGCAGGGCAGACAGUGCUUCUUUGGCCUCUCUCUCCCUCCUGCAUGCAGAAAUGAGGGACCUGAUGGGAUUUCAAGUUUGGAUCAAUGAGAAGUGUCUGCCAAGGAGCAGAGCAGCUCCCCUAGAAAUAACCCUGCAGCUCUCCCAUGUGGGAUGGGAGAGUCUGACCAUUUCAUUCCCUUAGUUAGGAAUAAAUAUUGCAUGUCCAACACUCAUAGCUAAUCAUGAAGUACGGUGAUACAUCAUACAUGAUUUGAUAGAUAUUUGGGAUCCUAUAUUUGGGGUCAACUCAGCAGGGGCAAACUAUCCUCUUUUACCCAUUAAGGCGUAUAUCCUGGCUCGUCUUUGCAUCCUGUGGGCAAGUGGAGACUGUGUGGGCCAGUUCAUGUGGCCAAAGUUGAUAAAUGAGGUCAAAUAAGGCCUUAAAAACUUAUUUUUUUCACAGUAGAUAAAACUCAGAGUAAGCACAGCCUACACUGGGCCAGUUGGGAAGUAUGUGGGACUUAAGGUAUACCCACAACCCUAAAGACACUGUCCUUGUUCCCUCCGUGGCUCUUUGACAACCAAAAAUUUAGCUAAUUAAGCAAAAUAUCCCAGACAGUAAUAGCCAAUGCUAGUGUUGAGGGAGCCUGAGCAUCAACACUGCUUCUGCAGUGCAUGUGAACCUGGAAGAGUCAACGUGCCCGUCCCAGGAGGGCUGUUCCCGUGACGAGAAGAGGAAGGAUGAUACCUUAAUAGACCCGCAUGUACGUGCCAAAAUGAAAGCCCGAGGCUUUUGUGGAAAGCUGGGAUCAUGUCUUGGCUUGCCUUGAUGGGCAACCUCUUCUAGGUGGCCCUGCUUGAGCAGGGAGGGGUUGGACUAGGUGGGCCCAGAGGUCCCUUCCCACCUCAACCGGUCUGGGAUCCUGUGACUUCAGCAGAACUACACACAUCAAGUAGGGGCAGGGAAACCUGGCUGGAUUUUGGUCCCCGAGCACCCCGAGGACGCCUCGCUCAGGGUGUCUCAGCCAGGACAGAGACACCAGGUGAUACGUGGGAGCCCUCCCAGCCCUUACACAAUUAGAAAAGAAAACAACCUGGCACAAGGUGGUAAAUGCUCCCAUGUGGCGUUCAAGGAAAACCUCUUUGCGUGGGAUGUACUGGAAAAGUUGCUCAAGAAUGGGGCAUUCUCAGAAAAAAAAAACACGAUCUGGCUGCUGUUCAGGACGAGAUCAAACCGAUCUGUGCUCCCCUGUCUUGAGGUGAUCGUGCCAUUUCCGAACAGCAGCCCAGUCUGGUAAUUCUGCAUCUUCAACCAGCCUCCCAGGCUGCAUCAUUUAACCGCCAGCAAACAUCCUCACCCCAAAUUAACCCCGCGAAAAGACCUGCAGCAGCAGCCACAGAAUUGCUCUUCUCCUUCCAAGUGCUUUACCGAGGGGACGUUUCCUGCGGCAGCCAGCUCUGCAAUAUCCUUUAUUUUUAGUCUGGGAGCCGCUGCGCUAUCUUUACUCUCAGAUGCCACCUUUAAUCUCACGCGCUGCCUUCAGCAGCACCCAGCGGAUGCGGCGAGCCUGCAGCGUGCCCUUUUCCCCCACCCUCUCCGGGGGCAAACCACGAUGUUUUUCAUCAGUCACCCCGCCGCCGAGAGCUGCAUCCCCCCCUUGGAGCCUCGCAUGCAAACUUCCACCGGCACUCACAUGGGUGGCAGCGCGGAUCCCUUUGGACGGCUUAGCUGCGGAUCAUUUUUAACCCCGGAGCUGCCUGCGGGACGCCGAGGCAUCCAGAAGCCGACAUGUCAACGCCACGGCGGCGUCGGGAGGAGACACACCGACGAAGCAGACCCGCCGAGCAGCCCACGCGUCGGUGCAAAUGCUUCCCUGCUGCACGGGCAGGCAGCCGGUGCCUGUGCUGCUACUGCUCCUGGCUUUCUGCAGCCCUGCCGGAUUCAGUGUUGCUAGCUAGCGGUUUUGUGUCGACAUUUAAAAUAGCAUCAGGAGCGUUCCCCGUUGAUUUCCGUGCCUGCAUGCAGCACGCUUUUAAAGCAUUUGCUUGCUCCCCGGGAGAUGGGGGGGAAGCCUGCAGACGUUUUCUCGCCCAGCUAGCGGCAAAUCCCGACCCGAGCUAAUCUGUGCGAUGGCUGAAAGCAGAGGAUGCUCGCAGUGCGUGGAGCUGAUUUGCUGACUUACCCUUCAUCUCUCUCCAGAAGGCCAGGUGAAGAAGCCAAGCUCUCGCUCCAGAAGGAAACCACAAGAAGCCCGGCAGCAGCCACUGCAGAGCUUGCUCAGAAGUUCGCUCCCUCUGUCACAGCGUGUGCAGCUUGCCAGGUAGAGCCUGGCUGAGAACACGGCGUGCUUUUCCCCAGAUGAGUGAGAUCAGCACAUAU